GACGAACGCUGGCGGCGUGCCUAAUACAUGCAAGUAGAACGCUGAAGAGAGGAGCUUGCUCUUCUUGGAUGAGUUGCGAACGGGUGAGUAACGCGUAGGUAACCUGCCUGGUAGCGGGGGAUAACUAUUGGAAACGAUAGCUAAUACCGCAUGAAAUGGAUUAUCGCAUGAUAAUCGAUUGAAAGGUGCAAAUGCAUCACUACCAGAUGGACCUGCGUUGUAUUAGCUAGUUGGUGGGGUAACGGCUCACCAAGGCAACGAUACAUAGCCGACCUGAGAGGGUGAUCGGCCACACUGGGACUGAGACACGGCCCAGACUCCUACGGGAGGCAGCAGUAGGGAAUCUUCGGCAAUGGACGGAAGUCUGACCGAGCAACGCCGCGUGAGUGAAGAAGGUUUUCGGAUCGUAAAGCUCUGUUGUAAGAGAAGAACGAGUGUGAGAGUGGAAAGUUCACACUGUGACGGUAUCUUACCAGAAAGGGACGGCUAACUACGUGUCAGCCGCCGCCGUAA
rnacentral:rRNA from 1 species